UACAGAGGGUGCGAGCGUUGUCCGGAAUCACUGGGCGUAAAGGGCGCGUAGGUGGCUUGGUAAGCGUGUGGUGAAAGCUCGGGGCUCAACCCCGAGUCUGCCGUGCGAACUGCCGAGCUCGAGCAAAGUAGAGGCAGGUGGAAUUUCGGGUGUAGCGGUGGAAUGCGUAGAGAUCCGAAAGAACACCAGUGGCGAAGGCGGCCUGCUGGGCUUUUGCUGACACUGAGGCGCGACAGCGUGGGGAGCAAAC
rnacentral:rRNA from 1 species